rnacentral:ncRNA from 2 species
AGCGCACGCCGUGACUGGCGAACGUGGAAGCGACCACGAGGAAGCGGUGUGCGGCUCCAGCCACCACGAGGUGCCGCCCGCCUGGGCACCCCGG